rnacentral:rRNA from 1 species
AACGAACGCUGGCGGCAUGCCUAACACAUGCAAGUCGAACGAGACCUUCGGGUCUAGUGGCGCACGGGUGCGUAACGCGUGGGAACCUGCCUUUAGGUUCGGAAUAACUCAGAGAAAUUUGAGCUAAUACCGGAUGAUGUCUUCGGACCAAAGAUUUAUCGCCUUUAGAUGGGCCCGCGUUGGAUUAGCUAGUUGGUGGGGUAAAGGCCUACCAAGGCGACGAUCCAUAGCUGGUCUGAGAGGAUGAUCAGCCACACUGGGACUGAGACACGGCCCAGACUCCUACGGGAGGCAGCAGUGGGGAAUAUUGGACAAUAGGCGAAAGCCUGAUCCAGCAAUGCCGCGUGAGUGAUGAAGGCCUUAGGGUUGUAAAGCUCUUUUACCCGAGAUGAUAAUGACAGUAUCGGGAGAAUAAGCUCCAGCUAACUCCGUG